rnacentral:tRNA from 2 species
GGCAACCUGGCCGAGCGGUCUAAGGCGCCAGGUUAAGGCUAAUUCCUUAACGAAGUAUCCUGGUCUCUUCGGAGGCGAGAGUUCGAAUCUCUCGGUUGUCA